UACGAAGGGUGCAAGCGUUGUUCGGAUUUAUUGGGCGUAAAGCGCGCGCAGGCGGAAGCGCAAGUCAGAUGUGAAAUCUCGGGGCUUAACCCCGAAAUUGCGCCUGAAACUGCGUUUCUAGAAUUCCGGAGGGGGAAGGGGAAUUUCUCAUGUAGGAGUAAAAUCCGUAGAGAUGAGAAGGAACACCGGAGGCGAAGGCGCCUUCCUGGCCAGAUAUUGACGCUGAGGCGCGAAAGCGUGGGGAGCAAACAGG
rnacentral:misc_RNA from 1 species